GGGGCCAGAUUAUGACUCCUGCCCUGCUAAUGCUAUGGCUUGUCAUUUUCUAAAUCCAAAGUUCUACUAAUAAUACUUAAUAGACAAAUAUUUAACCGACCAAGAGAACUCUAUAAUUUCAAACUUCAUCAUUCCAAGUAAUGGCUGGUGCUGGAUCAAGGUGGGUCCCUGUGCCACACAUCUUGAACUGAGACCCAUUUAGUGUUGGAAUAUCUUUAGUUUUCUUAUAUUUUAUUUUAUUAUAAUCUUAGAAAAGAUUCAAAUUCUUAAGUUCUUAUGGUUUUGAAUGCUUCCGUAUUGGAUGAUUUAAUGGCACUAGACUUGUGUUUAAUGAAGUUUGGCAGCUCACAAGGUUGAUGGAUUUUGUGAGAUUUGGACUGAUG
rnacentral:lncRNA from 1 species